rnacentral:lncRNA from 1 species
AUGGACUUGCAUGGGUUGUGCAGUGGUUUUGGCAUCUGGUUGGCAUCAUACUGGCUGCUGGAGAGCGGGGUGUAUGGUCGUGAAGGCAGGGCCUCAAUGCAGUGGUGUUGUCGGGGGAACCAAGCCUCUCCCUGGGCUCUUUAUCUCCUGACAUCUACAAUUCUUCUUCCAUCCCAGCCGAGCCUCUUCCUCUGCUGCCAGACGCCUGCUCCAAGGAAGUUUCCUAAAACCAGAUAUCGCCACCUCCUCCUUCCUCCUGCUCCACCUGAGCCUCUGCUUCCUCUGCGGAGAACCUUGUGCCCAGGAAUCCACCUAAAUCCAGGGAUCUCUACAAGCUCCCUCUUCCCUCUGCACCCGAGCCGCUUCAGCCUCAGCAGGACACGCAUUCGAAGGAACCUGUCUACAUCCAUGAAAGCUUUUUCUUCCCUCCCACCUGAGCCUCUUUCUGUGCUGCCAGAACCUGUUGCAAGGAAGAUACUUCAAACAGAGGUCUCCGCAGCCUCUGUCUUCCCUCUGUAGCUGAGCUGCUUCUGCCUCUGCAGGACUCCACUUGAAAGAAGCUGUCUAAAUCCAUGUAAGGUGAGUCACAGCUUGGUUGUUUAGGAUUCCAUGCUGAGUCUGGGGGAGGAAGGCUGCUGAUUAAAGCCCUGCUGUCCUAACUCAGAGCUCCCAUCAUGGCUCAGUGGUCAAUGAAUCCGACUAGGAACCAUGAGGUUGCGGGUUCAAUCCCUAGCCUUGCUCCAUGGGUUAAGGAUCCGGCGUUGCUGUGAGCUGUGGUGUGGGUCACAGACAUGGCUCAGAUCCCACGUUGCUGUGGCUGUGACGUAGGCUGGCAGCAGCAUCUCCGAUUCAACCCCUAGCCUGGGAACCUCUGUGUGCCAUGGGAGCGGCCCAAGAAAUGGCAAAAAAAGACAAAAAUAAUAACAGUAAAGCCUUGCUGUCCUAAUUUAAAUAGGAAGGUUGCUGCUUUCAGGGAAUUAGAUAAAGUCAGGUGUGGAGACUGGCCUGGCUGACUGUGAGAUGGUCCCUCCAUUGUAUGUAGUGCAUCUGAGGGGGCCUAGGGAGAUAUGGGUAUGCAAAUCACAUUAGCAAGAGCCCCGGGCUGGGGCAGAGCAGGGUUCAUCUGUGGGAUGUAGAAGGGCUGAGACUGGCUGUGAAUGCCCCAGCCCACCAGAUGGCGCCCUAGCACUAGCAGAACCCCUUCUGCAUCUCCAGGACUACACUUUCAAACUCAAAUAUAUGGUUGGAGAUGGGUGAGUGGAAGCCAAAGAAGGGCCCAGAUCUAGGGCUGGGUUCCCGGGCAUCUUCAAGUCUCUGGACAAUGGGCCUCAUCUCAGGAGAUGGGACA